rnacentral:tRNA from 1 species
GGUUUAUGGCUCAUUGGUAGAGCACUUGCCUAGCAUGUGUGAGGCACUAGGUUCAAUUCUUAGCACCA